rnacentral:lncRNA from 1 species
AUAGAAAAACUUCAUCCCUAAAGGGAUGGGGCUAUGGAAGAGUGCUUCUUAGUGGUGAGUAGCACAGCACUCGGUCCAUGCUCAGAGGCUCAUUGUUUGGAUUUGCUGUGUAGGAGGGAUGACUUUCUAGGCAAUGAUAAUGUUUUCUGGAGACUAGCCUCAGAUUUUAUCAUGUUUGUGUUUUGGGCAGGCAAGGCAAUGGAGAAAUGUGGUGAUAUUGCAGAGAUCUUGUCCUUGUUUUAGUAAUGGCUGUUUCUCCCUUUCCAGGAUGCUCAUUGUGACAGGAGAACAACAAACACAAUGGGGCAAUUAUGACUUCCCAAUCAGGAAUGGCCAAAACACAAGAUUUGACCAAUAUUUCAUUCAUUCCAGUUAUAAAAAGAUGCCCAUAGAUCCAUACAGCCAAUUGUAUCCUGUUUUGGUAUUCCCUCUUGGAAAAGUGGCCGUUAUCUACUGUAAUAACACCUUUGAGAUUCAGGAUUCUGUCUUUUUAAUGAAAGAUGGAACAUACACAGGUCAUAAAAGCUACAUCUCUAGAGGCCAUCCGAUACUUUUUGAUUUUCAUGUGAAACAAAACCAUGGAGGGUUGUACCAGUGUUGCUAUGGAUGGGAUUGGUUUUCCUGCAGAAUUAUGGAAGUACUGGAAGUAAUAAUAAGAGAUCCCAGCUUACAUAGACCACAAGUCUCCUUUGGAUCUAUUCCAGUAAGCAUUGGAGAAGACUUUACCGUCCAUUGCAGAGUCCAAGAAAAUGCCAACAAGUUUUAUUUCCAAAAGGAUGGGAAAGAGGUGCCUCACCAAAGGCCAUCCAAGAAUGAGAUAACCAUCCAAAGAGCAACUGAGGAGUAUGUAGGGAAUUACAGCUGCAGCUAUUCCCGUCAGUUUCUCAUGUCUAAACCCAGUGACUCUAUGAUGCUGCUAAUAACAGAUCCUCACCUACCACAGCCAGACAUCUCCAGCAGCUCAAGUGGGCCAGUUGCCCGUGGGGGAGAAAUUGCAAUUCAGUGUGAAAUUAAAAAGCCAACUGUCAUAUUCUAUCUCCAUAUAAAUGAAAAUCCACCAAAAAGAAUAAUCGAAACUGAUGGGAAAAAGUGCAAAUACUACUUUAAGAAUUUCAGCGUAACAGAUCAAGGGUCGUAUAGGUGCAGCUGUGCACUCCCAGAAAAGCCUUUUCUGAUCUCAAACAGAAGCCAUUCCCUGGACCUUUUUCUAUUAGAUGAGGAAGCCAAUAAACCCAGACACACUGAUCCCAUUGCCAUUGGUGUAUGUGUAACUUUCAUCAUUCUCUUCCUGCUUCUUGUUAUUUUUUGGUACAAAAGAAGAACAGAUGCACUAUUGGAAGAAACACAAGCAAGUGGCGAAAGCUCUUUCAGAGUUUUGAGGGCUCAUCGGGCUACAAAAUCUUCUGGCACUUCAAAAGCUGGAAGAAAACACUUGGAGAAGGAACUUCCAAAAGAUGACCCUGCCACCCAGCAACAAAACAUAGUCUAUGCCGAAUUGAAGAGAUAUACCUCAGACAUGCCCCAGGCAGAAGCUGAAACUGAUGAUGAUGUUGUCUACGCCACAAUUACUGUUCAUUAAUCCACAAAUGUUGGGAGUCCUGAAAGAUCUGUGUGUCUUUUGGAUGGCUUCCUAUCAUAAUGUUGGGAGUGCUGAAGAAGUUUUGGGAUUACGGAUCUUUGGGCUGUAUAGGUUCACCUAGCAAAUGAACUUCAGUUGUUUUCAAUUCUUUUCCUGGCUUUGUGAUAAUAACAUACUCGCAAGUAGGCAUUAAUGAAAUCAAAAUUCAAACCAACUUCAAUUCAGACUUACAUGCCUUGUUAUCCAUUUCAAUAAACUUCUAAUUUUUUCUCAUAAACAGAACUGCAAAUGCUUUGUAUUUAAAGACUAUUUAACCUUGAAUAUGUUUUAAUGGUUUUUACCUGGGAAUUUUUUAAAUACUGUUUAUAUUUAAUCCUGUUUUAAUGUUUGAAUACUUGUAUAUUUUAAACUGUAUGUUGAUGCUUUUACUUUAGGCCACUUUGAGUCUCCUGCAGGAGAGAUAAAGCAGAGUUUAAAUAAGUAAAUAUAAUAAUAAUAAUAAUUCAGAAGUUUUUUUUUUAUCGUGUCAGAAGCAACUUGAGAACAUACUGCAAGUCACUUCUGGUGUGAGAGAAUUGGCCAUCUACAGAGACGUUGCCCAGAAGACUCCCAGAUGUGUUACUGGGAGGCUUCUCUCAUGUCCCCACAAGCUAGAACUUACAGAUGGAAGCUCACCCCAUCUCACAGAUUCAAACUGGCAAGCUUCAGGUGAGCAACACAACCUUCAGGUCAGCAGUUCAGCCGGCACAAGGGUUUAACCCAUUACACCAUCGUGUCUCCUAAGUGAUGUGGUGACAUCACUUACAGAAGUGCACAGAAAUAAGUAGACCUCUUGCUAUUUUAAAUUGAGAUUCGGAAGAAUUCAUAGUGGUCAGGAUCCUGAUCCACAAGUAAGACUCAUGUCUUACAUUAUGACGAUGUUAGAGGAGAUAUAUGAAAUCUGGAAUACAAGUUCAGAUAUUCCAUGUCAUGCUCAUGGAAAUUGCCUAACUAUUAGAUCAAAACAGACUUUGAGUGAAGUAUUGAAAAAGUCAUUCAUCAAGCCUGUAUAUGCGUCAGUCUCUACUGAUUUGCUGAUCCCCAUCAAUCCUAGCAGCUGCUUGCGGGUAAGUGGGGUGUUAGGGACUUUCAUAGGCCCUAUAUAGCGCGUGCGCUCGCUCUCUCUCUCUCUCUCUCUCUCUCUCUCUCUCUCUCUCUCUCUCUCUCUCUCUCUCCCCACACACCAGUGACUGCAUAGGGAUCAUGACAGCAGUGACAAUGCAUAACUGGAGGUUACAUAUUUGUAACUGCCCAGAAGGAUUCCUGACAUGGUUUCUUACAUAACAAAAUAUGCAGGUAAGUUUGAUACACAUAGAGAAAGCUCAUUUCCACCCUAAAGAAGAACACCAGGGUGGAAGUUGCAAAACAGUAGUAUCUCAGUUCCUGCCUUAGGCAAUUCGAAUUUCAGAUUGCGAGAUUAUGGCGAUCGAGCGUGUGUACAUUCAGUGUCAAGCUAUGAUAAAGAAGGAGAACCUAAAAGGAGCACUAGCCCCUGUUUACUUUCCCCAACAUGGAACCACUUCUGGCAGAGACUAGAAAAUUUGAUAAGUAUGUAUCAAACAGGAAUGAAGUUUGCAUUUAAUCAUGUGUCCUUUGACCAAAAUACUUAUUAUGCACAUAUAUGCAAAUGUAGGUGUUCCAAAAUGAAAAAUAAAAAUCUGAAAUACUUCUGGUCCCUGGAUAAGGAACACUCAAACUGUCCAGCACUGUGAACAGCAGUAGAUGAUAGGGAAAAGCUUGAUUCAUUUGUCUAUCUGCUCAGUAGACAGCAAGAUAGGGGAAAAGGAGCCCCAAAGUGAAUGCCCACAUAAGAUGCUGGAGGAUAUGCGUGCAUGUGUUUCUUUUAACACAUAACCACAAUUUCAUUAUCUUUUCCUAUGAAGCCAUCUAAUCUAUAUUUUGUAUUUAUCCCACCCCCAAGCAGUACAGAUCCUCCUUUGCGAAUUCUUACAUUUGAAAUGACUUGAGUUGUCACCUUAGUAAAUUGACUGAUUAUCUAAUCACAGAAUAUCUUUCUAACACAUCAGGGGAGAGCACAUGAGAGGCUUGUAACCAAGACCUGGUUGGUAGAUUGGGCUCUUACCAGUUUCCUAUUAUCUUUGGAUCCAGUUUGGGGACUGAUGGAAUGCAGGACACUCAACAGACACCGCAACUGGAACUAGGCUUAUG